UAAGGGAUAUUGCUCAAUGGGCGAAAGCCUGAAGCAGCAACGCCGCGUGGAGGAUGAAGGUUUUCGGAUCGUAAACUCCUUUUGGUGAGGACGAGGAAGGACGGUACUCACCGAAUAAGUCACGGCUAACUACGUGCCAGCAGCCGCGGUAAAACGUAGGUGGCGAGCGUUAUCCGGAUUUACUGGGCGUAAAGCGUGUGCAGGUGGGUCUACAAGUGGUGUAUGAAAUCUCUCAGCUUAACUGAGAUAGGUUAUGCCAGACUGUAGGCCUAGAGUACGAGAGAGGGACGUGGAAUUCCGGGUGUAGUGGUGAAAUGCGUAGAGAUCCGGAGGAACCCCAGAGGCGAAGGCGGCGUCCUGGCUCGAUACUGACACUCAGACACGACAGCAUGGGGAGCGAACGGGAUUAGAAACCCCGGUAGUCCAUGCCGUAAACGAUGCAAACUAGGCGCUGGCGGUCUCAACCCCGCCGGUGCCGCAGCUAACGCGAUAAGUUUGCCGCCUGGGAAGUACGACCGCAAGGUUAA
rnacentral:rRNA from 1 species